rnacentral:lncRNA from 1 species
UUGAGUAAAGGUUCUAUCUGUGGUUGAGAUUACUUUGGUAGAAUUGAGUGCCCAUAUAGUUAAAUUCUUGUCUGAAUUGCAUCUUGCAAGCAUUAGGCACAAAACCCUAAAAGACACUGUUAGCAUUAAAACAAAAAGAAAAUAAAAUAAAAAAAUAAAAAAUAAAGUCGAAGUUAUUAAUGAAUAAUCACACGAAUAGAAUAGUUAAACUACGAGUCCCCAACAAUGGUGCCAAAAAAUUGUUAAGACUCCGACAAGUGU